ensembl:lncRNA
GUACAAGGUCAGGAAGAACCAGAAAAAAACAAAAAGGUCUUCAGAGAGUGCACCCUUCUCCAAGGUUAAUACUCUACAUACCAGUAGCCCUGACAUCACAUCUGAUGAAGACCCUCGAGAGUGCUUUCAACAGCAUCCAGCCACGACUUCUGAGGGACAAGCUGGAGCUAUCUGGAGUGGACCACCACAUGUCCCAGAGGGAUACAUGUCCCUCAUCUCUCCUCCACUCGCACACUGAGCACCGGCUCCCCACAGGGCUGUGUGCUGAGCCCCCUCUUGUAUUCUCUCUACACCCACGACUGCAGUUCGACCCACAACAACACUCUCGUUAUCAAGUUUGCUGAUGACACCA